rnacentral:rRNA from 1 species
AGAGUUUGAUCAUGGCUCAGAACGAACGCUGGCGGCGUGCUUAACACAUGCAAGUCGAGUGCGCGUUCCGUAGCAAUACGGAAUGGCGCACGGCGCACGGGUGCGUAACACGUGGGUAACCUGCCCUUUGGUGGGGAAUAACUCCGCGAAAGCGGAGCUAAUUCCGCAUAAGAUCCGCAAGGAUGAAAGCCGAGAGGCGCCGAUGGAGGGGCCCGCGCACGAUUAGCUAGUUGGUAGGGUAACGGCCUACCAAGGCUUUGAUCGUUAGCUGGUCUGAGAGGAUGGCCAGCCACACUGGAACUGAGACACGGUCCAGACUCCUACGGGAGGCAGCAGUGGGGAAUCUUGCACAAUGGGCGAAAGCCUGAUGCAGCGACGCCGCGUGGGGGAUGAAGCAUUUCGGUGUGUAAACCCCUUUCGAUCCGGACGAAUGCCCGCAAGGGAUUGACGGUACGGAUAUAAGAAGCCCCGGCUAACUACGUGCCAGCAGCCGCGGUAAGACGUAGGGGGCCAGCGUUGUUCGGAAUUACUGGGUGUAAAGGGUUCGUAGGCGGUGCGGCAAGUUGGGAGUGAAAUCUCUGGGCUUAACCCAGAGGCUGCUUCCAAAACUGCUGUGCUUGAGUGUGGGAGAGGCGCGUGGAAUUGCAGGUGUAGCGGUGAAAUGCGUAGAUAUCUGCAGGAACACCCGUGGCGAAAGCGGCGCGCUGGACCACUACUGACGCUGAGGAACGAAAGCUAGGGGAGCAAACAGGAUUAGAUACCCUAGUAGUCC